GUGGGGAAUAUUGGACAAUGGGCGAAAGCCUGAUCCAGCAAUGCCGUGUGUGUGAAGAAGGCCUUCGGGUUGUAAAGCACUUUUAGUGGGGAAGAAAAGUUCAUGGCUAAUAUCCAUGAAUGCUGACGUUACCCACAGAAAAAGCACUGGCUAACUCUGUGCCAGCAGCCGCGGUAAUACAGAGAGUGCGAGCGUUAAUCGGAAUUACUGGGCGUAAAGCGCACGUAGGUGGAUGCUUAAGUCGGAUGUGAAAUCCCCGAGCUUAACUUGGGAAUUGCAUUCGAUACUGGGCGUCUAGAAUAUAGUAGAGGGAAGUGGAAUUUCUGGUGUAGCGGUGAAAUGCGUAGAUAUCAGAAGGAACAUCAGUGGCGAAAGCGGCUUCCUGGACUAAUAUUGACACUUAGGUGCGAAAGCGUGGGGAGCAAACAGGAUUAGAAACCCGGGUAGUCC
rnacentral:rRNA from 1 species